CGGAGUGGACGCAUCACUGGUGUUCGGGUUGUCAUGCCAAUGGCACUGCCCGGUAGCUAAAUGCGGAAGAGAUAAGUGCUGAAAGCAUCUAAGCACGAAGCUUGCCCCGAGAUGAGUUCUCCCUGACCCUUUAAGGGUCCUGAAGGAACGUUGAAGACGACGACGUUGAUAGGCCGGGUGUGUAAGCGCAGCGAUGCGUUGAGCUAACCGGUACUAAUGAACCGUGAGGCUUAACCUU
rnacentral:rRNA from 1 species